rnacentral:lncRNA from 1 species
UUAAAAAGCUUUCUUCAUGAACUAUGAUCAGUGUUUAUAUACUCAGUAGCUCAACUUUUCUCGUUUGAAAAACAGAUCACCUAGUACAUUACUUAGCACAUAAGCAGUGCUUUGCUUAUAGUAGGCAUGUAUUAUUGUUUGGUUAAAACAUUAAACUGUACUUUUAACUAAUCUGUGUAUUUAAAGAUUAAGUAUUUCACAUAUAUAGCAUUAUAAUUCCAUUUUUUCAGCUCAGACUUCAGCCAACUUUGUGUACUCAGAAUUGUGGAGGAAAUACAUCAGUAAACAUCAAUAGAAAUAACUUCUACCUGGUCAAGAACUUUACUGAUUAAGAAAAUUAUUGAAGUUCAUACCCAUUUGAAAUUUCAUAAAAUAAGGUUACUGGUUUGAUAAGACUCAUUAUCAGCUUUUUCCUAGGUUAGCUGUUUACAAUCAGUGUUUUAUUGAGUAACAAAAUGGGUAAAGGCCUGAUAGGAGACCAGGAUCAGAAGCACUAGUAAUUCACAGAAUUUUGAAGAGUUAUAUUUU